UACAGAGGGUGCGAGCGUUGUCCGGAAUCACUGGGCGUUAAAGGGCGCGUAGGUGGUUGGCUUAAGCGUGCGGUGAAAGCUCGGGGCUCAACCCCGGAGUCGGCCGUGCGAACUGGGCUCACUGGAGCAUAGUAGAGGCAGGUGGAAUUCCGGGUGUAGCGGUGGAAUGCGUAGAGAUCCGGAAGAACACCGGUGCGAAGGCGGCGACCUGGGCCAAUAUUGACGCUGAGGUGCGAAAGCGUGGGGAGCGAAACAGG
rnacentral:rRNA from 1 species